rnacentral:misc_RNA from 1 species
GUGAAUCAUCGAAUUUUUGAACGCAACUUGCACUUUCUGGUAUUCCGGAAAGUAUGCCUGUUUGAGGGUCAGGUAAAUAAAAAUCGGUGUUGUUGUUGCUUUUCGAGGUGACGAGUCGGAAUUUAGUUGUUUUCCCGUCGGUUAAGUGACUUAAAAUUUUGUAUGAUUUUCGACCGUAUUUAAAUUUGUUACGUAUGUUUGAGAUAUCGAAUUUUUUAAUAGGUUCG